UGAUAGUUAAUGGUGAGCUAUAUGUUUAAUUAGUAACAACAUAUGAAUUAAGGGAGAAAUAUGAUGAGACGAUAAUUUCAAACUUGUGAUAAGAAUAGUUUACUUUGCUCGUUUUUUUUUUUUUUUUUGAGAAAUUGAUUGUGUCGGAGUAAUUAGGUGAGAGCAAUGUCGGCAGAAAUGGUCAUAAAUAUGCAAACACUAUGAAAGAAAUAAAAAAGAAUAGACAUAAAAAAAAUUGUUGCAGUUUAUACCAAAUGGUCGAUGUUCUAUUUCUUUGUAUUGCAUUGUACGCUAUUUACAAAGUCAAAAAUUUUGUGUAUAAACUUAAAAUUACAAUCAUUGAUGAAUUGUACACUGUCAAAAUUUGUGUGUAGAAACUUAAAAUUACAAUCAGUGAUGAAUUGUACGCAAAUAGAUUUUUUAUACUGAAAA
rnacentral:lncRNA from 1 species